rnacentral:rRNA from 1 species
GACGAACGCUGGCGGCGUGCUUAACACAUGCAAGUCGAACGCUGAAGCACCAGCUUGCUGGUGUGGAUGAGUGGCGAACGGGUGAGUAAUACGUGAGUAACCUGCCCUUGACUCUGGGAUAAGCCCGGGAAACUGGGUCUAAUACUGGAUGCUACAUGUCACCGCAUGGUGGUGUGUGGAAAGGGUUUACUGGUCUUGGAUGGGCUCACGGCCUAUCAGCUUGUUGGUGAGGUAAUGGCUCACCAAGGCGACGACGGGUAGCCGGCCUGAGAGGGUGACCGGCCACACUGGGACUGAGACACGGCCCAGACUCCUACGGGAGGCAGCAGUGGGGAAGAUUGCACAAUGGGCGAAAGCCUGAUGCAGCGGCGCCGCGUGAGGGAUGACGGCCUUCGGGUUGUAAACCUCUUUCAGCAGGGAAGAAGCCACAAGUGACGGUACCUGCAGAAGAAGCGCCGGCUAACUACGUG